CGAUUAAAUGGGUACACUUAUCUCUCGCUUAAAAUUACUCUCUCCAACUACUAAUAUUGAGACUUAAUUUUAUACAGCUCUAACUACCUCAGUUAAAUUCAAAUAUAUCAAACAACGACAGUAUAUAUAGUUUCAACCAUAUGCGAUGAAACUGUCCCUAAAAUAAGCAGAUAUGCAAAUAUAGCUUCCGACCGGCGCUCAGUCGAAAAAUUUACAUUUAU
rnacentral:lncRNA from 1 species